rnacentral:rRNA from 1 species
GAUGAACGCUGGCGGCGUGCCUAAUACAUGCAAGUCGAGCGAACAGAUGAGAAGCUUGCUCCUCUGACGUUAGCGGCGGACGGGUGAGUAACACGUGGAUAACCUACCUAUAAGACUGGGAUAACUUCGGGAAACCGGAGCUAAUACCGGAUAAUAUUUUGAACCGCAUGGUUCAAUAGUGAAAGACGGUUUUGCUGUCACUUAUAGAUGGAUCCGCGCCGCAUUAGCUAGUUGGUAAGGUAACGGCUUACCAAGGCAACGAUGCGUAGCCGACCUGAGAGGGUGAUCGGCCACACUGGAACUGAGACACGGUCCAGACUCCUACGGGAGGCAGCAGUAGGGAAUCUUCCGCAAUGGGCGAAAGCCUGACGGAGCAACGCCGCGUGAGUGAUGAAGGUCUUCGGAUCGUAAAACUCUGUUAUUAGGGAAGAACAAAUGUGUAAGUAACUAUGCACGUCUUGACGGUACCUAAUCAGAAAGCCACGGCUAACUACGUG